GCAAGCCAGGAAGGAGGAGGCAGCCAGAGUGGCCACCACUGUUCUCUGCAGCAGAAGACCCCCUGCUGCCAGGUUCCUGUCUGCUGUUGGAAGUAGCAGUGGCUGGCAUCAGAAUCAGAACAGCCCUCAUGUAAUCUGCAUGUAUCAAACAGGGAAGCUGAAUCAUGUUGCAUCAGCUUCCGAAGUGUUACCAGUCUCCCAGGACUAGGGUGACCAGAUACAAAAGAGAAGGUGCUGGAGAAGACUUUUGAGGAUACCAUAGACAGCCAGGAAAACAAAUAAAUGGAUCAUAGAACAGAUCAAUCCAGAAUUUUCACUCGAGGCACAAAUGACCAGGCUCAAACUAUCAUACUUCAGACAUAUUAUGUGAAGACCCAGCUCCCUUGAGAAGUCCAUAAUGCUGGGGAAAGUUGAAGGCAAGAGAAGAAGAGGACGACUAGCAGCAAGGUGGAUGGACUCCGUUACGACAGCAAUGAAUGCACCACUGAGAGACCUUAAAGGCCAAGUUGAAGGCAGAUCAUCCUGGAGAGAAUCUAUCUAUGUGGUCGCUAAGAGCUGACACUGGCUUGACUGCACUCACUCACUCACUCAACCAACCUUUAACAUACUCAUAGAAGAGGGGAUUUUGCCAGAUACAGUGUUUUAUAGCUGCUUCCCUCACAAACACAAAGUAAUCUUACAUAGAUUUAAUGAAGAGUUUAUUCAGAAACAACUCCAUUGUCUCCUUCCCCUCUUUUUUUCCUUCUGAUUCCACCGCCCCCCACACACACUCUCCACAGGAUCCCCACUGGAACGAACUUCUAAACAACAACACAUAAAAGAUUACUGGACACAAGUCCACAUAAGCUUAUCUCACCUCUGCAGAAUAGACUGCACCUACCCUCUUCUAAACAACUGUUAAAGAUACACAAGCACAGUUUUGCAGUUUGCAGUUUUCUUCUUUUUCUUCUACCACCCUGUCUGCAGAGCCUAUUAGCACCUUGCAAGAGCAGCAAUCCGGGAGAUAUUAGGCCACUUAAAACUCUGCAAGUAAGCCACCAUAUGUGUUUUCUCUAGACAGCUCCAAGGAACAAUAUCCAGCAGCAACCAUUUGCCAUAUAAAUAACCAUUAUUCAAUGUGUAGUUUUACACAUUGAUAGCACUCGCUCAACAUAGCAGUUUGUCAUGGCAAAAAUCCUGGCUUGAAAAUAGAACACAUGCCAAACUGAAUAUAUUCUACCUUGUGUCAGCAAAUAACGUGUAGAAGUUGUGAAUGUACAACAAAAGAAAUUAUUCAGAAAUGCAUCCCUCUAAACAUCAAAUUAACCACUUGAAAACAUGCAUAUGAUAAUUGCUUCAUAGUCUCUGUUGCAUGAGGCUAAACUCUAUUUUAGAAUCAGAGGGCACCCAGAGAUGGACCACUAAAUACCCAUAAAACAUGACUAAUGGUGGAUUAACAUGAUAACAAUAUUUGUAACUAUACUAGAAUAGCUUAGUCAUUUGAAAAAUCAAUAAAUCUCAGCUAAUGUUCACCAUGUGCAAAUACUGAUUAUACUUAAGGGGGAAAAAUUGUGCACAUUGCAAGUUUAUCUUGUCAAAAUUGGCAUACAAUCAGAUUGUAUUAAUUGUUGCUGCCAGAUCAGAACCAAUUAGGGAGACCGAUCCAGAAGAUAGUUAAAUGAAUAUAUGACCCCACAAACCAAAUUGAUCUGGAAGAAAAUCAUGUGAUCCAUUUUCCAGAUAUGUGGCUGAGUCAUGUUUUCAUACUUAUUAGUGGUCCCCACACUGGCCUUUCAUAUAGAACCCCCAGACUACUUGGUCCUUACCCACAUGCCUCUGCCUGUGACCUAAGUGCCUGCUAUGAUUACAUUAACAUUAAUUCUAGGAAGUAGUUCUUCUUCCUCUUCCUCUUUUCAACAAAAAAAGUCCUCAAAGCAGUUCAUAUAGGAAAAGGAAAAAUAUGGUUCCCUAUCCCAACAGGGCUCACAUUCUAAAAAUAAGCACAAAAUGGACACCAGCAACAGCCACUAGAGGGACAUUGCUUGGGCUGAAUAAAGAUCAUUGCUCUCCCCUGCUAAAUAAGAGUCACCAAUUUAAAAUGUGCCUCGUUGCCCAGUUGGCAGCAGGGGCUCUGUCAUUGCAAGGGAAUUGGAUUGAAUCAGCCUUGAGCAACUUGCCCAUUUUAUUCUAGGAUGAAUAUACAUAAGAAAAACAAUGUUGUCAUCUGUUAAUCAACUGCAUUCUUUCUUCUGUGGAUUUAAAUAUCACACAGAUUCCACUUUUAAAGUAAAUGGUGCUCAUGAUUAGAUUUGCAUUGUAAAUAUAUGGUAUUUCUGAAACCAUUUGAGUCACGUGUCCCAGAGGCAGUAUCUGAACUCAUCAUUACUAUGGAAAAGUAUGGAAGCAUCAUCAGUGGAAGAUAUUACCUUCAGUCUGUUAGGGGUAACAAGUCAUGAUCAUAAGAUGAUACAGAAAUAACCAAACAUAAAGAAAACCAUUAACUGUACAAUGUAUGCAUUUUCUCUGAAGAACGAUUUCUCUGGAGAGCUGAAUUCAAAAUAAGGGAAGUAGCUACUGUUGCUCAGUGAUUCAGCACAUGCUUUGCAUGCAGAAAGUUCUAGAUUCAGUCCCUCUGGUUAAAAUACUCCCAUAUAGCAGGAUUGCAACAGACACUUGCCUAAUACCCUGGAAAGCUGCUACCAGUCACUCUAGAUAACAGUGAGGUAGACAGACCAGUGCUCUUUGCUAUUAUUCAAAUAAGGGGAACUUUGGAAAAACAAAAACCUUUCAAUUUGAGACCCCUUUACAUAAGAACAGCCCUGCGGUUAAACUAUAUGGCAAAUCAGGCUAAUUCCUGACCUGUUACAUAAGAACAGCCCUGCUGGAUCAGGACCAAGGCCUACCUAGUCCAGCAUCCUGUUUCACACAGUGGCCCACCAGAUGCCUCUGGGAAGCUGACAAGCAACAGCUGAGGGCAUGCCCUCUCUUCUACUGUUACUCCCCCACAACUGGUAUUUAGAGGCAUCUUGCCUCUAAGGCUGGAGGUGGCCUAUAACCCUCAGACUAGUAGCCAAUGCCAUUGCUAGACUUGUCCUCCAUGAAUUUAUCUAAGUCCUUCUUAAAGCCAUCCAGGCUGGUGGCUGUCAUCACAUAUUGUGGCAGAUUUCAUAGGUUAAUUAUGCAUUGUGUGAAAAAGUACUUCUUUUUGUCAGUCCUAAAUUUCUUGGGAAUCGGUUUCAUUGACAUCUCAUACUAGCAGAACCAGGGGGACCAGAGCCGGCACCACCACUAUGACCUGUGGGCAUGGCUUUGCCUUCAUCCUCUGAGGAACAACUAGCCCAAAGACAUCCCCCAGCACCACCAGAGCCAGCACUUAGAAUGUUUACAGGGCUGUUUACAGUUUACAGGGCAAAGCCCCUGUAAACAAGAGAGUCCUCCUCAGGGAAGAGGUGAGGCCAAUCCACUCUACUUAAAAAAAAAUACUGUCUUGUUUUUAACUGUUUUUAUUGGUUUUAAUUGUUUUAUAUAAAUUGCCUGGAGAUGUUUUAUAUUAGACAGUUUUUAAUGAAUAAAUAAAUGAAAUACCUGGGCAGUGGCCAUAAAUAGCAGCAAUCAGUUCCAAGCAGCUGCUGGAGGAAAAUCCUUCUCAUGGUACUUCUACCCAGCUCUCUUGAAUAUCUAUUUGGAGCUAUCCAAGCUCCUGACCUCUCUCUGCCUGUCUUGUAUCCCUCCCAAAUCCCUGCCUUGGUGGAGACUCUGGCUUGACCUAGAAUAUGAUAUAAUGGUGCUAUCUAUUUCAAACAUCUGAUGCCCAGAGGAAAUAUGCUAUCUUUGAAAAUGGAUGUCAUGUUUCUUGUUACCAUGGUUAGUAACCAUCUCCAUAAAUAGAUAGAGAAGUGCA